rnacentral:rRNA from 1 species
UACGGGGGGAGCAAGCGUUGUUCGGAAUUACUGGGCGUAAAGCGCACGUAGGCGGACUGUUAAGUCGGGGGUGAAAUCCUGGGGCUCAACCUCAGAAUUGCCUCCGAUACUGGCAGUCUCGAGUGCGGGAGAGGUGAGUGGAAUUCCCAGUGUAGAGGUGAAAUUCGUAGAUAUUGGGAAGAACACCAGUGGCGAAGGCGGCUCACUGGCCCGUAACUGACGCUGAGGUGCGAAAGCGUGGGGAGCAAACAGG